GUUCUUCCUUUCUUCCGUCAGCUAGUCCAGUUCGUCAGUAUUUGCUGGGCAAUGACCAUGUUCUGCCAUGGUGACAGAGCCUGGAAUUUCCUUGGUGACGCCAUCAAAUUCCUUCCCUGGACUUGUGGGGCUCAGAUGAAUAAAAACAGACAGGACAAACAUUUACACGGCAAACAGUUCAGCUGAGUCUUGUGAGACUGUUAGGAGUUGGAAGAAAACAGGGAACCAUGAGUACCUUUAACAGAUAGACAUCCUGAAGCCUGGGUCCUGGCUGGGAGGUGUGUCUGACGGGCGAACAAGCAGGAGCUACUAGCUCAGGGGCGGUGGUGGCGGCGGCGGCGGCAUCCCAACCAGACAGACCUUGAGCUGCUCUCAGAAUCGAGAGCAGUGACGGGGGAGGCAGGGGCGUCGCCACACUGGGUCUUGAGUGCAUGCAAACGAGAAGAACACAGGCUGGAGGCAAAAAAAACGGUUUUUAAAAAUGAACACAGACCCAGGAUCUCUGAGACAGUCAUUGAUAGCCCAGCAAAAGGGGAAUAUCAAUGAAGAAAAAUAAUUUUGAGGAAGUAAAUAUUGACCAUUUUACAGAUUUGAUGAAAGCCAUAAAUUUACACAUCCAAGAUGCUCAUCAGAUAACCUUCAAAAAUGAUACCCAGACAUCACAAUUAUAUUCAAAUCAGUGGGGAAAAGUUUUUUUAAACCAUGUCCACACACAUCACAGUCAAAAUGGAAUCAGUGGGGAAAAAUUGAAAGCAUCCGGAUAAAAGGACCAGGUUACAUACAGAGGAAAAAUGAUUUGAAUGAUUUCAGAUUUCAUAUCAGAAGCCACUAUGGUCUAAGACUGAUAGUCCUGAGAGAUGAGAAGAGCCAACGUGGAAUUCUUCUGGGUAUAUUCUUCAGGAAUGAAAGCAAAAUAGUCAUUCUGAGAGGAAAGAACACUUGAGAGAAUGUGCUGCCUGUAGACCUUCUUUAAAGGAAUGAUAAGGCUAGUUCUUCAGGCAGAAGGGAAAUAAUUCUCGAGGGAAACUUGGAAAUUCAACGAUAAAGGAAGAAUAAAAGGUGGUAAAUAGGUAAAUGUAAUAGCAUAUUUUUCUCAUUUCCUGUAUAUGUGACUGUUGAAAGCAAAAAUAACAAUGUUUGGUGGGGUUUUUAUAUAUGUAUAAUAGAUGAAUACAUAUAACAUCUAUAGCAUGAUGGAAGGUGAGGGUGAAAGGGCCCGUGUGAUGAGGGUUCCAUGUUUCUCUUGAGGAGAUAAAAUAUUAACUGUGUGGAC